UCGAGGAUAUUUAGCAAUGGGCGAAAGCCUGACUAUGUGACGCCGCGUGAGGGAUGAAGGUCUUCGGAUCGUAAACCUCUUUCGAUGGGGAAGAAACUUCCGAUUAACUGUCGGAACUGACGGUACCCAGAGAAGAAGCCACGGCCAACUCUGUGCCAGCAGCCGCGGUAAUACAGAGGUGGCGAGCGUUACUCGGAUUUAUUGGGUGUAAAGGGCAGGUAGGUGGUUAUGUAAGUUGGAGGUGAAAUCCUAAGGCUCAACCUUAGAACUGCCUUCAAAACUACAUAACUUGAGGCCGGAAGAGGAAAGCGGAAUUCCCGGUGUAAGGGUGAAAUCUGUAGAUAUCGGGAGGAACACCAGUGGCGAAGGCGGCUUUCUGGUCUGGCCCUGACGCUGAGCU
rnacentral:rRNA from 1 species